rfam:Toxocara canis scaffold298, whole genome shotgun sequence.
GCGGCAGUAGCUCAGUGGUAGAGCCCCGGCUUCACAUGCGGGGAGACCUGGGUUCGAUUCCCGGUUGCUUCC